UAUGAGUUUUAUUCUGGCUUGUAAUUAAUUUAUUGUUAUAUUAAUCUAUAUAUAUAUUAGUGUUAAGUGAUUAUCUAAAUGAUUGUGUUUUAGUUUGUAAUAUUUUGUAUUAGGUAUGAAGGAUACUUUGAUCUGGUAAUUAUUUAUAAAUAUUGAUAAAGUAUGUGCCAGCAGUCGCGGUUAGACAUGGAAUGUGAAUAAAUUUUAUUGGUUGUGUAGUUUAUAAUUAUGUAAUAUAAGGUAGAAUGAGGGUUAUUAGGUGGAAUUUUUAAUUUUUGGUAAUGUUGUGCUAGAGUAUGAUGCUAUGAAAUCAAGAUAAUAAACUAGGAUUAGAUACCCUAUUAUUUUUGAUUUAAAAUUUAAUGGCUUAAGUAGUAGUAGUUAUGGACUUGAAACUUAAAGAAUUUGGCGGUAUUUUAGUCUAUUUAGAGGAAUCUGUUCAGUAAUUGAUAAUCCGCAUUGAACCUUACUUAUUUUGUGUUUGUAUACCGUCGUUGUUGGGGAUCUUUUUAGAGUUUAUUUUCUAAGGAUUUAAUUGAAUAGUAUUUCAGAUCAAGGUGCGAUUGAUAAAUAAGUUGAAAUGGAUUACAUUAUUGUUUAUAUGUGGAUGAGUUAUUGUAAGUUAAUAGUGAAAAUGGAUUUAAUAGUAAGAAUUUAAAGAUUGUUAUUGUGAAACUAGCUCUAGAAUAUGUACACAUCGCCCGUCGCUCUCGUUAAUAAGGUGAGAUAAGUCGUAACAUAGUAGGUGUACCGGAAGGUGUAGCUAGAUUGG
rnacentral:ncRNA from 1 species